rfam:Salmo salar isolate Sally breed double haploid chromosome ssa01, whole genome shotgun sequence.
AGCGACUCAAUUUGUAAGUCGCUCUGGAUAAGAGCGUCUGUUAAAUGACGUACA